GAUGAACGCUGGCGGCGUGCCUAAUACAUGCAAGUCGAGCGAACAGACGAGGAUCUUGCUCCUCUGUCGUUAGCGGCGGACGGGUGAGUAACACGUGGAUAAUCUCCUUAUCAGACUGGGAUAACCUCGGGACACCGGAGCUAAUACCGGAUAAUAUAUUGCACCGUAUGGUUCAAUAGUGAAAGACGGUUUUGCUGUCUCUUAUAGCUGGAUCUGCGCUGCAUUAGCUAGUUGGUAGGGUAACGGCUUACCACGGCAACGAUGCGUAGCCGACCUGAGAGGGUGAUCGGCGACACGAGAGCUGAAACACGGACCAGGGUCCUGAGGGAGGCAGCAGUAGGGAAUCUGCCGCAGAGGGCGAAAGCCUGACGGAGCAACGCCACGUGAGUGAUAAAGGUCUUCGGAGCGUAAAGCUCUGUUAUGGGGGAUGAACAGAUGUGGAAGUAACUGUGCACGGCUUGACGGUACCUGAUCAGAAAGCCACGGCUAACUACGUG
rnacentral:rRNA from 1 species